AGUGGCGAACGGGUGAGUAAUAUAUCGGAACGUGCCCAGUCGUGGGGGAUAACGUAGCGAAAGUUACGCUAAUACCGCAUACGAUCUACGGAUGAAAGCGGGGGACCGUAAGGCCUCGCGCGAUUGGAGCGGCCGAUAUCAGAUUAGGUAGUUGGUGGGGUAAAGGCUCACCAAGCCAACGAUCUGUAGCUGGUCUGAGAGGACGACCAGCCACACUGGAACUGAGACACGGUCCAGACUCCUACGGGAGGCAGCAGUGGGGAAUUUUGGACAAUGGACGCAAGUCCGAUCCAGCCAUUCCGCGUGCAGGAUGAAGGCCCUCGGGUUGUAAACUGCUUUUGUACGGAACGAAAAGGUCUCUAUUAAUACUAGGGGCUCAUGACGGUACCGUAAGAAUAAGCACCGGCUAACUACGUGCCAGCAGCCGCGGUAAUACGUAGGGUGCAAGCGUUAAUCGGAAUUACUGGGCGUAAAGCGUGCGCAGGCGGUUAUGUAAGACAGAGGUGAAAUCCCCGGGCUCAACCUGGGAACUGCCUUUGUGACUGCAUAGCUAGAGUACGGUAGAGGGGGAUGGAAUUCCGCGUGUAGCAGUGAAAUGCGUAGAUAUGCGGAGGAACACCGAUGGCGAAGGCAAUCCCCUGGACCUGUACUGACGCUCAUGCACGAAAGCGUGGGGAGCAAACAGGAUUAGAUACCCUGG
rnacentral:rRNA from 1 species